AACGCACAUUGCGCCCGCGAGUAUUCUCGCGGGCAUGCCUGUUCGAGCGUCAUUUCAGCCAUCAAGCCCCCGGCUUGUGUUGGGGACCUGCGGCUGCCCGCAGGCCCUGAAAUCCAGUGGCGGGCUCGCUGUCGCACCGAGCGUAGUAGCAUACUUCUCGCUCCGGGAGCGCGGCGGGCGCCUGCCGUAAAACCCCCUACAUACCAAAGGUUGACCUCGGAUCAGGUAGGAAUACCCGCUGAACUUAA
rnacentral:misc_RNA from 1 species